CCCCCCUCAGGUUCGCAUCUGGAGAGUUUCCAAUACUCUACCAGCCUUGGCUCUGGGAGGAAGAGUCAAGCAGUGACAUAACCAUUCCAUUCCUAGCUCGGACAGUGGCUAGCGAGUGGAAGACAAUCUGCUACAAGU